rnacentral:misc_RNA from 1 species
AUCAUAUAUCAAGAGAGGAGAAUUUGUUUUCUACCUCGUUUUGACUGUGUCGGAUCGUGGGCAGCACGCAGUUUGAUGCUUUCUUGCGUUGCGUUUUCUUUGAGCAAAUGCACGAGUGGUGCGAUUGCACGUGUGCGCUUAACCAGUCCUCCUCCUCCUACGAGUUUUAUCGAACACUGCAUGGGAAAACGAAACUCGAUGGAUACCGUUUGUGGAAAAAUCCCGUACCAAAAAAAAUCUUUCGCACGUUGAACGGCGCUGUGACGUCGGUGCGUUAGAAACGGAGAUUUGAAACGGUUUCUUUUCGAUCGAUUCUGUUUUCUUUGGCGUGGAUGUUGUUCGAGUGGAAAAACCUUGGGACGGAGUUGGCGUUGGGCCGUUGAAACGCGGCGUCGGCAAAUGUAAAUCUCGUGGCGUUGAUUUGCACAAAAAAAAGAAAAACGCUUCUGGGAGGAAAGUUUUUUGCGUCGUAGCCUUCCGUCAGUCUAAGACCUUCGCGUCCCCGAUGAAUACUGGAGCCAUCCAGUAGGGGAAUGCCGUUGGAUUGCGCGCUUUCUUUUUUGUCGAAUCGAAAGCGAUGCAAAGCGUGUGUACAACAACUGUUAGUUCGCCAUCCUUUUGUGUUUUUGACAUGUGGUAAGGAGGCGAAGUUUUUGUUGGAAAGCGCACAAAAUGAAUUG